CGUGUAGGCGGUUGGUCAAGUCUGGUGUGAAAGCCCGGGGCUUAACCCCGGAAGUGCAUUGGAAACUAGCCAGCUAGAGCGCGAGAGAGGAGGGUGGAAUUCCUGGUGUAGCGGUGAAAUGCGUAGAUAUCAGGAGGAACACCGGCGGCGAAGGCGGCCCUCUGGCUCGUUGCUGACGCUGAAACGCGAAAGCGUGGGGAGCAAACA
rnacentral:rRNA from 1 species